CAACUUACUUGGCAGGGGAGAUAGCAUGUUCAUGAAGGCGGUUUUCCCAGGGCGAGGGCUAUCCAUCUCACUCUGGAUGUGCUGACCCCUGUGACUUUCCCAAACGUGGGAAUCUCGAGUGUCUGAUUUGUGGUGGUGGCAGACUGCAUUCACACUCUCCCC